UAGAGGAAGAAACAAAAUGAACUAAGUUUGUUUUUAGAAUUUUUUCUACGAUUAGCCGCCGACAAAAGUACGGGGCAGUACAUAUU
rnacentral:sRNA from 12 species